ensembl:lncRNA
CCUUAACCCACAGUUUUGCAUUGUGUAAUGCCUUGAUUACUGCUAGACUCAGGCUAGGAAGAUUAGUUCUCCUUCACUAGCAAUAUGUCUGUCAUCUUGUUUGUAUAGGGGAUGUGACCUAGUAGCCUGCAAAACCCAGACCUUCAGCUUUACCUCCACAAGCUAACCUGUAGUUCAUCCUUGCAUUCUGUCACUGAUGGGACUAAAAGCAUUGCUGGCUUCCCUAUCAACCCAGACAUGUGAGCUCUCCGAAGCUUCCUGUUUUCCACGGCUGCACUUUCUCACGUCUACGGUAUUUUCUGAAGCAUACUCUGCCACAGCUGGUGUAGUUUCUACUUGGGAAGAUAUUUUUUUCCUGUUCCGCCGCUGGAUCACCAGAAAAGUUCUUCAAAGACACCUUAACCUGCGUGGAGAACUCUGGGAAUUCUACUGUGGUCAGUCCGUCUUUCAAACACAGCUAUCAAAGCAAGAGGGUCAAUCUACUGUGUGCACAAAUGGUUGCUUAAGCACUGGCUGGAGCCUCCUCCUGCUGCAGGUGGCCAUGGGUGUGGAAAGAGGAACGUUCAAUCCAAGCAGACCGCAGAUGUGAUGCCCACCUGCCCUUGUGCUUCCUUUUGCCCACAUUAGUGGAAGUUAAGAGACGUGCCAGACCUAGGCAUCUGAGAGCCAACAACUGAGCUGUGCCUGAAGGAGGAACUACUGGAGUGGAACGCAUCAGUCAAGCCAAGAGCCACCAGCCAGAAUGCCACUGUGGGAGAACAUCUGGUACCACUGAAAGAAACUAGGGGCUGGAAAAGCCAGGGGUUUGUGUGCAUUGUCUCUUUCUCUUUUCUUUUUUUCUUUUUUUCUUUUUUUCUUUUUUUCUUUUUUUCUUUUUUUCUUUUUUUCUUUUUUGUGCAAAGCGCAUAAGGCAUCAGAAACAAAGCAAAGCAAAACAAGCAAACAAACAAACAAAAAACCCAAAGUGCUGGAAGACAGAGUAGUCCUAAUGGAAAUCACAUCUCAAAAACCGAGGUUCGGUGAGGAUGGUUAGUCAGUCUCUCACAAGAUAGGAAAUGAAAAGGUGAGGAACUCAUUUCCUCAGCCCAGAUCACCUGCCUGCAAGGAAGGGUCCUGUCCCUGGGAGGAGAUGGGUUGUGAUGGCACCAUAGGACUCUGCUGGGUGGCCCAAGCCUCUGUAGGGCAGAAUUGUGCAGUCUUCAGAGCUUUCCCACGGUACAGCAAGAGUCCUAUCAGCCUGAGAUGGGGCUCUCCCAGGGGGUAUCACGGUGGCAGACAGUUCAGAGAGGGUCAGGAGGCACUUAGGGCAUAAGUGCCACUGAACUCUUGAGGCAGUGCCCAACUCAAGAAAACCCUUCAAUGCUGGUUGCUGGAAGCUCAAAGGCUACUUGAAGUGAGAGAUGACUCUGUUCUGAUACAUUCUGGUCUAAUGGAAAGCGUCUAAUAUGCUUUCCCUAAGCAUUUCCUACUGGGUUGAAAGUGAUUACUGUGGUAAAUGAGCCUCUAGUCCGACCUGAUGCACUUUGUAACUUUUGACAACCUGAGAAAAUAGCAAGGGAUGCCAAGAAGCCAUGCAGUCCCUCUCUGACUUGCAAGGCAAAUCAGCUGAUUUCUGCACAUCUUU